rfam:Asian citrus Psyllid, Diaphorina citri - Florida Strain, whole genome shotgun sequence.
CAACGCGGCGAUAGCACGUCGAAUACACCAGUUCCCCAUGGACCACUGAAGUUAAGAAACGUUGUGCGUGGUUAGUAUACGAAUGGGUGACCAUCUGGGCAGUCACGUGCUGCUAUAU